CCUACGGGUGGCAGCAGUGAGGAAUAUUGGUCAAUGGACGCAAGUCUGAACCAGCCAUGCCGCGUGAAGGAAGACUGCUCUAUGAGUUGUAAACUUCUUUUAUACGAGGGUAAACUCAGAUACGCGUAUUUGUCUGAAAGUAUCGUACGAAUAAGGAUCGGCUAACUCCGUGCCAGCAGCCGCGGUAAUACGGAGGAUUCAAGCGUUAUCCGGAUUUAUUGGGUUUAAAGGGUGCGUAGGCGGUCGGUUAAGUCAGUGGUGAAAUCCCGCGGCUCAACUGUGGAAUUGCAUCUGAUACUGGUCGUCUAGAGAGUAGUUGAGGUAAGCGGAAUUUAGGGUGUAGCGGUGAAAUGCUUAGAGAUACGAAAGAACACCGAUGGCGAAGGCAGAUUACUAAGCAAUUUCUGACGUUGAGGCACGAAAGCGUGGGGAGCAAACAGGAUUAGAUACCCUAGUAGUC
rnacentral:rRNA from 1 species